GACAGUCUGAGUCUAAUCUGCGAUUUCUUCUUCGUUGCAGCUACAAAUAACCAAACAUCAGCAGCUCACUCAGAAGAAGAAGAAGAAGUUUUAGCGUUCGUCCCACCUUUUAACAACUGGAGACAGUAUGUGCCAUGAUGCACAGUACACACAGGACCAUGGGGAAAUUUGACAGAGGGGGGCACACGCUGGAUCAAGCUUGCAAGACAUAUUCACAUCAACACGACGAAGUGAGAAGAGUCGCAGCUGUUUGACAGUAAAGAGAGAGACAGCUCGUUCCUCACCAACAACCACACGGACAACUGACUCCAGGCUCCCUUCCAUAAUUCCAUUUUGUAUGUCAGAUGUUGAACAUGAAAGCUAUGUGCAUUUCACAUCCAACAAACCAUCCCAUACCGGCGUGAUAAAUCCAGUCUUCAACUAGAUGGAGCUGGAUUAAAUAUUUUGACUUUUGCUAUCCCAAUCGGACUUAUGACCUGUAAUGCUGCCUGAAUCGUAAUCAUGCACUGUUCGCUGUUGGCCAGAGGAGAACUGGCCCCCCGACUGAGCCUGGUUUCUCCCAAGGUUUUUUUUCUCCAUUUUUGUCACCUGUUGGAGUUUGGGUUCCUUUCCGCUGUCGCCUUUGGCUUGCUUAGUUGGGGACACUUGACAUUUGAUAUUCAACAAUGUUUUUGAUCUGCCUGCAUUGACACCUUUGUAUGCGAACUGAGCUGAGCUGGACGAUGACAUGACUGUUUUCUCCAGAGCUGAUAUAUAGAUAAAUUAACUAAACGAAUAACUAUUGAUUUUUACUAAAUCAAUACUGAAUUUACUUUAGCUGGACAAUGACACCAUUUUCUUCUAGAGCUGCUGUGCAGCCAAAAUUAUUUGCCAGUUAUCACUGUAAAGCUGCUUUGACACAAUCUGCACUGUAAAAAGCGCUUUAUAAAUAAAGGUGACUUGACUUGA